AUAUGUUGAUGCUGGAACUGGAGGGCUAUGUUCAGUCUCAGAUUUGGCUGAGCUCUCGUCACUACUAGAAACAUAAUUUUUCUCAGAUUUUGAUGCAGGUUCAGAUGCAUCAGAUGUGGCGAACUUCAAAGUAUCUAUUCCAAAGAAAUCAUCUGAUGAUAAUUUUUUCUCAAAUUUGGCCGAGCUCUCGUCCCUACUUGAAACAUAAUUUUUCUCAGAUUUUGAUGCAGGUUCAGAUGCGGUGAACUUAAAAGUAUCUAUUCCAAAUAAAUCAUCUGAUGAUAAUUUUUUCUCAUAUUUGGCCGAGCUCUCGUCACUACUAGAAACAUAAUUUUUCUCAGAUUUCGAUGCAGGUUCAGAUGCGGUGAACUUCAAAGUAUCUAUUCCAAAUAAAUCAUCUGAUGAUAAUUUUUUCUCAUAUUUGGCCGAGCUCUCAUCACUACUAGAAACAUAAUUUUUCUCAGAUUUCGAUGCAGGUUCAGAUGCGGUGAACUUCAAAGUAUCUAUUCCAAAGAAAUCAUCCGAUGAUAAGUCUGAUAAAGAGGAAGAACUCGACUUUCUACCUGAUGAAGAUAAGCUUUUGGUUCUUUUGAUAUGCGUCUCACCACUUUCAUCUCUAGUGAUUUCAUCUAUAUGCCUUUCUGAAUCACUACUGCUGCUUUCACAUCCAUUUAAUACCUCAAUGCUAGAAUCUCUAAUACUUGGACUUCCAUUGAUAGCUUCUGGAUAUAUUUCUUCUAUCUUAUCUUCUAUGCUAUGAUCAAAUGUUUCUGUAUACAUUUGAACACUUGUAGCUUCCUUUCAAAUGACCCUGCACACAUGUGUUUUGCAGUGCUUAGUACACUUUACCUUGUUUCAAAAUCAUUACUAAGAAUUUAAACUUAUGAGUGAAGGUUCUAAAGUUAUUAUUUAAC
rnacentral:lncRNA from 1 species